CCUACGGGUGGCAGCAGUGAGGAAUAUUGGUCAAUGGCCGCGAGUCUGAACCAGCCAAGUCGCGUGAAGGAAGACUGUCCUAUGGAUUGUAAACUUCUUUUGUCAGGGAAUAAAAUCAGGCACGCGUGCCUUUCCGCGUGUACUUGAUGAAUAAGCAUCGGCUAACUCCGUGCCAGCAGCCGCGGUAAUACGGAGGAUGCGAGCGUUAUCCGGAUUUAUUGGGUUUAAAGGGUGCGUAGGCGGAUUGUUAAGUCAGCGGUAAAAGUCCGGGGCUAAACCGCGACGAGCCGUUGAAACUGGUGUGCUUGAGAGGUGGAGAGGUAUGCGGAAUGCGUGGUGUAGCGGUGAAAUGCUUAGAGAUCACGCAGAACGCCGAUUGCGAAGGCAGCAUACCGGCGGCGAUCUGACGCUGAGGCACGAAAGCGUGGGUAGCGAACAGGAUUAGAUACCCCAGUAGUC
rnacentral:rRNA from 1 species